rnacentral:lncRNA from 1 species
GUUUAUUCAAAAAUAUUAAAUUGUUUAGAAGGCAUAUCCAAAAAUAUUAAAUCAAGGCCUAUAUUAGACAUAUCUAAAUAUACACAUUGAUACAGUGGUGUAUUUAGGAUUUUGCUUGAGCGCCCUCACCCUCCAAUUUGAAUUUUCCCCACCCCUUCCUGUCAAAGCCGCACUUUGACUGACAGAUGCACACUCACUGACAGACGCAGACACUCACUAAUAGAUACACUAACAAUGACAGACACACACUAUUACUCAGACGCACACUCUCACUGACAGACGCAAGCACUGACCGUGACACACACACAUUCACUUAGACACACACACUCACAGACACACAUUCACUCAGACACACACACAUACAUUCACUCACAGACACACACACAUUCACAUUUCCACCAACACUCCCUGCAAAAUUCCACCCAAGGCAGAUGCCUUGUUUGCCUCACGGAAGAUACAUGCCUGCAUUGAUACAUACUGGAGAUGUACAAGGAGAGGCUCCGGAUGUAUCCUGCCAUUCCAUGUAACUGUCACGUUCUGUUCCUCGCUGCGGAUCAUUCUGGCAAUGGCUUCUGGUAUCCAGUACUCUUUUUGCUGUCCUUGCUUGGUUUUUCUGGUUUUCUAUUCAUCAUCCUUUUUUAUUCUAAUAAGGUUGUAUGCGCCACGGAGGUCAAGUUUAGUGUAAAUAGUAGCUGUUCUUAACCUUUCAAUUAACUCAUUUAUCAGAGGAAGGGGAUAACGAUUUUUAACAGUUAUUUUGUUCAAGGCUCUAUAAUGGAACCAGCAGAUAUAAAUUCCCAAAUGUCUGCUUUAACUCAUAGAGUGGAUACAAUUACCCAGGGAUUACAAGAUUUGCAGAUUACCAACGAAAGAAUACUAGCCUAUGUCAGAGACAUACAAAGUCACGCUCCACAAGCCUUUCUUCAAUCUGCUAGUGAUCCUGCUGUCUGCAACCCAGAAAAGUUUUAUGGAGAUCGAUCAAAAUACAGGGAGUUCUUGAAUUCCUGCAAAUUACUAGUAGCCCUAAAACACAUAUCUUAUCCCACUGAAAGAUCUAAAGUCUGUUCUGUGAUCUCUUUCCUAAGAGGUGAACCGAUGGCCUGGGCACACUCCUUUUUAAAGAAUGAUGACCCCAUAUUAGACUCAUUGGAUGAAUUCUUUGAAGCUAUGUCUCUCCUAUAUGAAGAUCCUUAUAAAUAAACUACAGCAGAUUUGACCAUUAGAACCUUACAACAAAAAAAUAGACCUGUGGAAGAUUAUAUCGCAGAAUUUAAAACAUGGGCUACAGAAACCCAAUGGAACGACAUAACCUUACGUAAUCAGUUCCGUCUCGGGUUAUCCGAAGCAGUAAAGGAUGAACUCUCCCGAACCGAACUCCCUCCCACCUUAAACACAUUGAUUCAACUUUCCAUUAGUAUCGAUAGACGACUUAGAGAAAGAAAGGCUGAAAAAGUUCUCUCCAGUUCAAUAUGAAAAAAAACUGAAAAACCAAGCAAGGACAGCAAAAAGAGUACUGGAUACCAGAAGCCAUUGCCAGAAUGAUCCACAGCGAGGAACAGGACGUUACAGUAACAAAAAAAAAAACAAGGAAAUUAGUUUUUGAGCUACUUCCUAACUAAUAUUCCCAAGUAUUCUGACACACAAAAAACUAUACUCCUUACCUUUGAAAAAAGAGUUGAGGAUGUAAAACGUCUCCUCCAAAUAGCUCAAGUUUUGAUGUACACAAAAUAUGUUUAGCCCUUCCUCAGAUAUAUGUAUUUGCUGCAGGGUGAUUAAUAUAAUGUCUCCAUCAAAUCUUAUGCUAUAACUGAUGGCGUAAUGGUGCAUAACACAUGACCAUCAAUACAUAACUGGAAUGUCACUUGGCAUCAGUAACAUUCUACAGAAUAAGGACAAACUAAUUGCCUGACAAUGGAUUUGUUAUAGAUAUUGACUGCCCUCAGGGUGCAAAGAUUUUUGGGUACAUAGGCGAAGAUGCAUUUUCCACCCUCCCCCCCCUCUAAAAAUAACAUCUUCACCUCUGUGCCUCUUAACCAGCCCCUCUCCCCUCCCUUCCCUGUCCCUUAGUGUUCCUCUCCCCGCCUGUGCUGCCUUAUGGAUGCGCCGGCCCUUACUGCCCAGCGCAUUUCAACGAUGGUCUGCUGUACAGUAUAAAAAAAAAAUAUCAAAAUGCUUAAUAAGAUAGCUUGGGCUUUUUUUUUUUUUCUGGACAUUUUAGAGAAAAUAAAUUAUUAUAAGUAUCUUAUUUUAGAGCAGUAAACUACAUUUAUAGAGGGUAUAUAUAACAAAAAGCAAUGUGAAGUACCAAUUAACAUUGGUAGAUAUUAUUUUUAUUAUAAGGUACUAUAAGAGUGUAAGUAAGCAUCUGGAUUGAUCCAUGUAGGACUUGAAACCGUGAUUUGUUUAAUUUAAAAGAGACUCAUAAAUAAAUGUUUUCUGAUAAGAAAAUUAGUUAAAA